rnacentral:rRNA from 1 species
AAGAAAUUCGUGCAAUUCGAUUUAAAUUGAUUUUAAAAUAAAAUUAUUAAAUAAAAUAAAUUUAAAAUUAAAAAAAAUAAUUUAGUUUUUAGUAUUGUUUAUAGAAAUAAUUAUUUAUUAUUAUAGUUUAUUAGUAUUGUAAAAGAUAUUUGAAAUAAUUGAAAAUUAAUUAAUUAAAAAGAAAAUUUAAUUUAUUGUACCUUGUGUAUCAGGGUUUAUUAAAUAAAAAAUAUUUAUAUAUUUUUCUCGAAAUAAAAAGAGCUAAAUUGGUAUGUUAGUUAAUGUAGUAUAAUUAUUAAUAAUAUUAAUUUAGAAAUGAAAUGUUAUUCGUUUUUUAUUAUAUCUAGUUUUUUAAGAAAUAAAUUUAAUUUAGAUAUUAUUGAAUGUAAUUAAUUAAUUAAUUAAUUAAUUAUUUGAUAAUAUUAAUAUUUUAAGGGAUAAGCUUUAAAAUAAAUAUUUAUAAAUAUUUAAAUAUUUUAAUAAUUAUAGGGUUAGAAAUAUCCAUUAUUGAUAAAUUUGUUAUAAUUUAUUUUAUUAAAAAUAUUAUUUAUUUUUUUUUAAUUUUUUAUUAAAAUAUUUAAUUUAAUUAAAAAUUUAAAUUAAUAAUGAUAAAAUUAGUAUAAAUUAAUUGUUUAAAUAUAUUUAUUUGAUAGGUUUUUAUAAUAAAUUCGGCAAAUAAUAUGUUCACCUGUUUAUCAAAAACAUGUCUUUUUGAAUUUAAUUUAAAGUCUAAUCUGCCCACUGAAAUUUUAAAGGGCCGCAGUAAUUUGACUGUGCAAAGGUAGCAUAAUCAUUAGUUUUUUAAUUGAAAGCUUGUAUGAAUGAUUGAAUGAAAUAUUAACUGUCUCAUAAAAAUUUUUAUAGAAUUUUAUUUUUUUGUUAAAAAGCAAAAAUUUAUUUAAAAGACGAGAAGACCCUAUAGAGUUUUAUAUUAUUAUUAUUAUAAAUUAUAAAGAUACAUUAAAUUUUUAAUUAAUGGUAAUAUUUGAUUGGGGUGAUAGUAAAAUUUAAUUAACUUUUAUUUUUUUUUUUCAUUAAUUUAUGAAAUUUUGAUCCAAUUUUAUUGAUUAAAAGAUUAAGUUACCUUAGGGAUAACAGCGUAAUUUUUUUUGAGAGUUCAUAUCGAAAAAAAAGAUUGCGACCUCGAUGUUGGAUUAAGAGUUAUUUUUGGGUGUAGAAGUUCAAAGUUUAGGUCUGUUCGACCUUUAAAUUCUUACAUGAUCUGAGUUCAAACCGGUGUAAGCCAGGUUGGUUUCUAUCUUUAAUUAAUAUUAAUAUUUUAGUACGAAAGGACCAAAUAUUAAAAUAAUAUAUUUUUUAUUUUGAAUAUUAUU